GACGAACGCUGGCGGCGUGCUUAACACAUGCAAGUCGAACGGAAAGGCCCUGCUUUUGUGGGGUGCUCGAGUGGCGAACGGGUGAGUAACACGUGAGUAACCUGCCCUUGACUUUGGGAUAACUUCAGGAAACUGGGGCUAAUACCGGAUAGGAGCUCCUGCUGCAUGGUGGGGGUUGGAAAUUUUCGGCGGUUGGGGAUGGACUCGCGGCUUAUCAGCUUGUUGGUGGGGUAGUGGCUUACCAAGGCUUUGACGGGUAGCCGGCCUGAGAGGGUGACCGGCCACAUUGGGACUGAGAUACGGCCCAGACUCCUACGGGAGGCAGCAGUGGGGAAUAUUGCACAAUGGGCGGAAGCCUGAUGCCGCAACGCCGCGUGCGGGAUGACGGCCUUCGGGUUGUAAACCGCUUUCGCCUGUGACGAAGCGUGAGUGACGGUAAUGGGUAAAGAAGCACCGGCUAACUACGUG
rnacentral:rRNA from 1 species